rnacentral:tRNA from 1 species
GGUGGCUCAGUGGUAGAGUGCUUGCCUCACAUGCAUGACGCUCUGGGUUUGAUUCCUCAGCACCA